rnacentral:rRNA from 1 species
AUUGAACGCUGGCGGCAUGCCUUACACAUGCAAGUCGAACGGUGACAGGUCUUCGGAUGCUGACGAGUGGCGAACGGGUGAGUAAUACAUCGGAACGUGCCCGAUCGUGGGGGAUAACGAGGCGAAAGCUUUGCUAAUACCGCAUACGAUCUACGGAUGAAAGCGGGGGAUCUUCGGACCUCGCGCGGACGGAGCGGCCGAUGGCAGAUUAGGUAGUUGGUGGGAUAAAAGCUUACCAAGCCGACGAUCUGUAGCUGGUCUGAGAGGAUGAUCAGCCACACUGGGACUGAGACACGGCCCAGACUCCUACGGGAGGCAGCAGUGGGGAAUUUUGGACAAUGGGCGAAAGCCUGAUCCAGCCAUGCCGCGUGCAGGAUGAAGGCCUUUGGGUUGUAAACUGCUUUUGUACGGAACGAAAAGCCUCUUUCUAAUAAAGAGGGGUCAUGACGGUACCGUAAGAAUAAGCACCGGCUAACUACGUG